rnacentral:tmRNA from 2 species
GGGGCUGAUUCUGGAUUCGACGGGAUUUGCGAAACCCAAGGUGCAUGCCGAGGGGCGGUUGGCCUCGUAAAAAGCCGCAAAAAAUAGUCGCAAACGACGAAAACUACGCUUUAGCAGCUUAAUAACCUGCUUAGAGCCCUCUCUCCCUAGCCUCCGCUCUUAGGACGGGGAGCAAGAGAGGUCAAACCCAAAAGAGAUCGCGUGGAAGCCCUGCCUGGGGUUGAAGCGUUAAAACUUAAUCAGGCUAGUUUGUUAGUGGCGUGUCCGUCCGCAGCUGGCAAGCGAAUGUAAAGACUGACUAAGCAUGUAGUACCGAGGAUGUAGGAAUUUCGGACGCGGGUUCAACUCCCGCCAGCUCCACCA